GACGAACGCUGGCGGCGUGCUUAACACAUGCAAGUCGAACGGAAAGGCCCUGCUUUUGUGGGGUGCUCGAGUGGCGAACGGGUGAGUAACACGUGAGUAACCUGCCCUUGACUUUGGGAUAACUUCAGGAAACUGGGGCUAAUACCGGAUAGGAGCUCCUGCUGCAUGGUGGGGGUUGGAAAGUUUCGGCGGUUGGGGAUGGACUCGCGGCUUAUCAGCUUGUUGGUGGGGUAGUGGCUUACCAAGGCUUUGACGGGUAGCCGGCCUGAGAGGGUGACCGGCCACAUUGGGACGGGGAUACGGCCCGAACCCCUACGGGGGGAAGGAGGGGGGAAAAUGGCACAAGGGGGGGAAGCCGGAUGCAGAAACGCCGCGUGCGGGAGGACGGCUUUGGGGUUGUAAACCGCUUUGGCCUGGGACGAAGGGUGAGGGACGGGAAUGGGUAAGAAGCACCGGCUAACUACGUG
rnacentral:rRNA from 1 species